AUUGAACGCUGGCGGCAGGCAUAACACAUGCAAGUCGAGCGAGCGGCGGACGGGUGAGUAAUGUAUGGGGACUGCCCGAUAGAGGGGGAUAACUACUGGAAAAGGUGGCUAAUACCGAAUACUAUCGGAUAACCCAUAUGGGAUUAGCUAGUAGGUGGGGUAAAGGCUCAAUGAGGCGCCGAUCUCUAGCUGGUCUGAGAGGAUGAUCAGCCACCAUGGUACGUAGCCACGGCCCAGACUCCUACGGAUGCAGCAGUGGGGAAUAUUGUACAAGGGGCGCAAGCCUGAUGCAGCCAUGCCUCUUGUAUGAAGAAGGCCUUAGGGUUGUAAAGUACUUGCAGAGGGGAGGCGUUACCCGCAGAAGAAGCACCGGCUAACUCCGUGCCAGCAGCCGCGAUAAUAC
rnacentral:rRNA from 1 species